AGCGGCGGACGGGUUAGUAACGCGUGGGAACGUGCCCUUCACUACGGAAUAGUCCCGGGAAACUGGGUUUAAUACCGUAUACGCCCUUUGGGGGAAAGAAUUUCGGUGAGGGAUCGGCCCGCGUUAGAUUAGGUAGUUGGUGGGGUAAUGGCCUACCAAGCCUACGAUCUAUAGCUGGUUUGAGAGGAUGAUCAGCAACACUGGGACUGAGACACGGCCCAGACUCCUACGGGAGGCAGCAGUGGGGAAUCUUAGACAAUGGGGGCAACCCUGAUCUAGCCAUGCCGCGUGAGUGAUGAAGGCCUUAGGGUCGUAAAGCUCUUUCGCCUGUGAAGAUAAUGACUGUAGCAGGUAAAGAAACCCCGGCUAACUCCGUGCCAGCAGCCGCGGUAAUACGGAGGGGGUUAGCGUUGUUCGGAAUUACUGGGCGUAAAGCGCACGUAGGCGGAUUAGUCAGUCAGAGGUGAAAUCCCAGGGCUCAACCCUGGAACUGCCUUUGAUACUGCUAGUCUUGAGUUCGAGAGAGGUAAGUGGAAUUCCGAGUGUAGAGGUGAAAUUCGUAGAUAUUCGGAGGAACACCAGUGGCGAAGGCGGCUUACU
rnacentral:rRNA from 1 species